rnacentral:piRNA from 1 species
UGAGAUUGAUGGAAACUGUGCUGGGUC